GGGGCUGGGGCUCAGUUCUAAGAGCAUCUGCUUGGCACGUAGAAGGCCGCAGGUUCAAUCCCUGACAUUUCCA
rnacentral:tRNA from 1 species